CACAUGAACGACGUGUAUAAAAGUGAGGCAAAUGUGGAAGAAUACGAGCAAUAAUCCCCGAGAUAAGCUCAGGUUAGCGAGACAAGGAAGUCACCGAUGAUGAAGGUUUAGAAUCCCGUGAUAAGCGAAGUGAGGAAAUCACAGGAGAUGAUGGUGCUGAAUCUGUAAUAAUUGGAGAAGCAGGAGCAGUACGAGGAAUGGAAUAGGGCUCAACUAUAGUGAUAAGAAUGUCGGGAAAAGUGAGGUAACACAUCCUCCACUAAAAAGGUCGGGGAUGAUGGUCAUACGUAGCAGGGACGAGACUCACUAAAAGUCAUACCGUGAGAAAUAGUCACCCGAUGACCAACCUGAUCCCAACAACAAUAUCUCUUAUGCUCAUUGUUGUAUCCUAGGAACACUCAACAUACUAAGUAGUAAGUUUGGUACAUUGACGAGAGGCAGUAAGGGCACAUCAAACACAACCAAACAAUUGAAGCGCUGAAUAAUCUGGAAACGAUCAAAUAGACUCGGAAGGAGAUGACCAUGGUGGAAGUGGAGACGCAUUCAACCCAAAAGUGUGGCGUAAGAGAGGCAGUGACCAUCCAAAAGUGUGGCGGAAGAGAGAGCAGUGACAUUGAACCUAUGAGCCGUCUCAAUAGUUGACGAUGCUUGCCCUCAGCUAUGCCAUUUCUGAGCAUGAGCACCAGGAUAAGAGAACUGAGCAAGAGCACCCUGCUCAACAAGGAUUGAGCGCAACAUCUUGGAGAUUUAUUCUCCACCGAGUCAUCACAGUAUACAAGAAUAGGCGUAGAGAGAUACUAUGUUGGCAAACGGAAGCCACAUCGAAAAGUGUGGCAAAAGUGGUCAGCUGGGCCAUACAGGAGCAAAUGUCUCAUCGUAGUCAUGACUAUAUGUUCUCACCACUAGAUGAGCUUUGUAAAGCUCUAGAGAAACAUCAUAGCCUCACCCUUUGAUGUCAUCACAUGCUGCCAUUAUGGAUGAGAAAACGUCAUGAUAAGAAGUCGUCUUGCGAAGAGCACCACAAUAACUAACCAUAGCAGUCAAAAGGCAGUAGCAGGCGAGCUCGAAAGCCAUAGUUAGGCUGAUCUGGAGCUAUGUGUUGCCAACAGAAGAAUACAUAGUAAUCGAGGGAGUUGACUCAUUAGAAGAAUCCACAACACGCGAACAGUGAGUGUAGUAAAGUCAAGGAAGACGAGCAAAAGAAGGAACAUGAAAAGAGAAACUGCCAAGAGUGCCUCGACUAUCGACAGGUAGGGAAGUUACCAGGAUAGGAGAACUGAGCAAGAGCACCGUGCUCAACAAGGAUUGAAUGCAACAUCUUGGAGAUUUAUUCUCCACCGGAGUCAUCACGGAAUACAAGAAUAGGCGUAGGGAACUUGGUGUGUGCCAUGGCAUCAAAACGCUUACACAUAUAAGACCUCACUACGAAAGGAAAUAAAGUAUAUCCAGGUGUGUUGAGAGAAGUCAUCUAUAAAUAUAGUACUAGCGAUAACCUCCUUUCGAGGCGAAAGGAGGUGGGUCCCAGACAUCAAAGUGAACAAAGGUUGAAAGGGUUGUUGAGACACUGUCUCGCUAUGAGCAUAAGGUAAGUAUAGCUGUUUAACAAGCCGACAACCCGGACAGUUUGGAGACAUCAUCGGAGACUGAUCCAAGAAGACCAUGUCAAACUAAGGAUGCGAGAUGAGAGCCACACAAGUGACCCCAGGCGACGAUGGCACUUCUAAGCAUAACUGCUAGACAAGGUAACAGAGGUGGAGAGACUAGCGGCUGUAGCAGCAGAGUCACUUGAUCCAGCAUCCUACGUGCCUGUGCGCUCUCCGUUACCCGCCGAUCCGGCUUGGUGUGCUUCUCCUGUUUGCGGGUUGUGUGCCACGCACUUGAUUAAGCACCCCACGUUCUCCUACAGUGCGCCCUUGACCCUGGCUUUAGGUAGCGCCGUGUCCUCGGCUUGCCGUGCAUAAUCCAGGUAUGCGCCAACUGUCCGAGCUCCUGCUCACCAUCGGUGUUGCUCGAGCGUGGGUUCUGGUGUCGCCCAUAAAGGGAACACGGGAUGUGGGAUUGAGACAGUUCACAUAGCAACCCACAGCAAGGCAAAGGAUGCCCAUCCAACUGGCAGGGAGCGGAGGUGGACCCAAAAAGGUGGAUGUUGACUCCAAGGAGUCUCAACAGUACGCUUGUCAGUAAGAGGAGCAAGAAGAUCCUGGAUAUACUUCUCUUAGCAAAUAAAGAAGCCAUCAAAGGUAGACUCAGGGAAGUAGCGAUGAGGACCAAGGUCAGACAUAAGAAACUCACUGUGACGAGCAUUCACAAAGGCAAUGUACUUAAGAGUCGUGCAGGAUCAUGAGCACGCGUUGAAAAACGAGCCUUAUUAACCACAGAGACAACGCUCAAACCAGUCAUGAGGGGUUUGCUAAAGAGCAUAUAGAGAACGCCAAAGGCGACAAACCAUGCCGGCUGGAAAAGAAUACCCAAGUGGUGGCUACAUGUAGGAUUGUUGACAUCAAGCUGAGAGAGAGAGAGAGAGAUAGAUAGAUAGAGAGAGAGAGAGCCUAUGUUGGCAAACAGAAGCACAUCGAAAAGUGUUCCAAAAGUGGUCAUCUGGGCCAUACAGGAGCAAAUGUCUCAUCGUAGUCAUGACUAUGUUCUCACCACUAGACGUGGUUUGUAGAGCUCUAGAGUAACAUCAUAGUCUCACCCUUGUGGGCCUAGUUACAAGUAAUGAGACGAGCAAGAGGAGGAAGGGAAAUGAGAUUCCACCAGCCGGCGAGGUGAAGAGCAUUUGAUGCCAUCACAUGCUGCCAUUGUGGAUGAAAAAAAUGUCAUGAUAAGAAGUCUUCUUGUGAAGAGCACCGCAAUAACUAACCAUAGCAGUCAAUAGGCAGAAGCCGGCGAGCUCGAAAGCCAUAAGUAGGCUGAUCUGGAGCUAUGUGUUGCCAACAGAAGAAGACAUAGUAGUUGAGGGAGAUGACUCAUUAUAAGAAUCCACAACACGCGAACAAUGAGUGUAGUAAAGUCAAGGAAGAUGAGCCUAAGAAGGAACAUGCAAGACAAACUGCCAAGAGUACCUCGACUAUCGACUGGCAGGGAAGUUACAUUGACAGUAAAAACAUGAACAUGAGAAUCUAGAUGUGGAAUACGCAAGUGGUGGCUGCACGUAAAACCCCUGACAAAAUUCACCAUUAAAAAAGUCUUUGUUAACAUCAAGCCGAGACGGAGUGACGAAUAAAGGCCGCAACAAGAUGUGUGUGAACAAUUGUCGUAUGGCCCGCAUGAGCUGAAACUCUCAUCGUAAUUAGGACCAUGAUUCUACUAAAAGCCACGAGCCACAAGACGAGCUUUGUAAUGUUCAAGAGAACCAUCAGAGCGAGUCUUAACCUUGUUGACGCACCAAGUAAUGGGACGAACACGAGGAGGAAGGGACACAAUAUCCGAUGUGCUGAUGUGCUCAACAGUAGCAAUAUCCUCUACCAUGGCAAGGCGCCAUUUGGUAUGAAUAACAUCAAGAUAAGAAGUCUGCUCAAGAAAGUGGCGCCAACGUUUCAUAGCCUAAGGCGGUCCACAGGCAAAAGUGGACGAGGUCGCAAGCAAUAAGAAGGCCGAGACGGAGAAGAUGGCACAUCAGUAGAUGCAUCCACAACACAUGAACGACGUGUUUAAAAGUGAGGCAAAUGUGGAAGAAUACGAGCAAUAAUCCCCGAGAUAAGCUCAGGUUAUGGAGACAAGGAAGUCACCGGUGAUGAAGGUUUAGAAUCCCGUGAUAAGCGAAGUGAGGAAAUCAUAGGAGAUGAUGGUGCUGAAUCUGUAAUAAUUGGAGAAGCAGGAGCAGUACGAGGAAUGGAAUAGGGCUCAACGAUAGUGAUAAGAAUGUCGGGAAAAGUGAGGUAACACAUCCUCCACUAAAAAGGUCGGGGAUGAUGGUCACACGUAGCAGGGACGAGACUCACUAAAAGUCAUACCGUGAGAAAUAGUCACCCGAUGACCAACCUGAUCCCAACAACAAUAUCUCUUAUGCUCAUUGUUGUAUCCUAUGAACACUCAACAUACUAAGUAGUAAGUUUGGUACAUUGACGAGAGGCAGUAAGGGCACAUCAAACACAACCAAACAAUUGAAGCGCUGAAUAAUCUGGAAACGAUCAAAUAGACUCUUGAAAGGAGAUGACCAUGGUGGAAGUGGAGACGCAUUCAACCCAAAGGUGUGGCCUAAGAGAAGCAGUGACCAUCCAAAAGUGUGGCGGAAGAGAGAGCAGUGAAAUUGAACCUAUGAGCCGUCUCAAUAGUUGACGAUGCUUGCCCUCAGCCAUGCCAUUUCUGAGCAUGAGCACCAAGAUAAGAGAACUGAGCAAGAGCACCCUGCUCAACAAGGAUUGAGCGCAACAUCUUGGAGAUAUAUUCUCCAUCAAAGUCAUCACAGAAUACAAGAAUAGGCGGUGAGAGAUACUAUGUUGGCAAACAGAAGCCACAUCGAAAAGUGUGCCAAAAGUGGUCAUCUGGGCCAUACAGGAGCAAAUGUCUCAUCAUAGUCAUGGCUAUAUGUUCUCACCACUAGAUGAGCUUUGUAAAGCUCUAGAGAAACUUCAUAGUCUCACCCUUUCAUGUCAUCACAUGCUGCCAUUAUGGAUGAAAAAACGUCAUGAUAAGAAGUCGUCUUGCGAAGAGCACCACAAUAACUAACCAUAGCAGUCAAAAGGCAGUAGUAGGCGAGCUCGAAAGCCAUAAGUAGGCUGAUCUGGAGCUAUGUGUUGCCAACAGAAGAAUACAUAAUAAUCGAGGGAGUUGACUCAUUAGAAGAAUCCACAACACGGGAACUGUGAGUGUAGUAAAGUCAAGGAAGACGAGCAAAAGAAGGAACAUGAAAAGAGAAACUGCCAAGAGUGCAUCGACUAUCGACAGGUAGGGAAGUUACCAGGAUAAGAGAACUGAGCAAGAGCACCGUGCUCAACAAGGAUUCAAUGCAACAUCUUGGAGAUUUAUUCUCCACCAGAGUCAUCAUGGAAUACAAGAAUAGUCUUAGGGACCUUCCCCUGUGUGCCUUGGCAUCAAAACGCUUACACAUACAAGACCUCAGUACGAAAGGAAAUAAAGUAUAUCCAGGUGUGUUGAGAGAAGUCAUCUAUAAAUAUAGUAC
rnacentral:lncRNA from 1 species